UCGACCACCGCGGCAACGGCGGCUGCGUUCCUUCGAGUCUCUCCACUUCGACUGCACCAGUGAGAGAGCGCAAGUUGGUGACUCGAUCCGAUCUACUUGCAAUCCUAUUCGAUCUCGUCUCAUUGUGGCAGUCUGGUGACCUUUUCUGAGUCUCGAAACCCUCCAAACUCAUUCUUUGGAAUCUGAUGAUUCUUAGUUUGUCCGAGUUAUUGACUGAUUUCGAAAUGGAACACCAUGUUAUGAUUUGUUUUUUAUAGAAUAAGACAUUGCAGAAGGUGAAACAAUUGUGUUGUUCUCCAUGUCAUAUCAUCAACUAACUUCAGUGCAUGCUGAUGCAUCAGACAGGAUUUGCAAACCAGGUGUAAAUCUCAGCUCGAUGUCACAAUUGUUAUCAUCUUAACAAAGGUCCUAAAUGGUAUGCAAACACACAUACAGACCGACAUGGCAGGAUAUUUUGGUGGAUUCAAUGAUUUCACAUCAAUACCAGAAGCAGAAAAGUGGUGAAACCUAGCAUGAGAAGAUUGUUGGUUGGUCAUGAAAGAGAAGAAGCCCUUUCAUCCAUCCAUUUAUUCCUUAAUCCAUUAGUGGUGGUAUCUUUUGGCUUUCUGGACAAGAGAACUUCAUUUUCCAACUUUAAGACUGGCUUAAGAUGAAUUUUUAUUUCAUGUGUAAGAACAGACAUAAGAAUCAUGGAUAUUCUGUGAAAUGCUAAUAUUUUUGGUUUUGUCCAUUGCUAGAGAAAGCAACAAGGAUGGAAUAUUUAUUUCAACUCGUGGUUGUUCGUAGAUUAUUAGGAACUCCGUUCCAUCUUUCUGCUAGUUCAAGAAGGUUCAAAUGACAAUCUUAGCUCACACCAGUCUUUCAAGUGGGAAUAACUGCAAGGCACUCUCAGUUCAUGUGAAGUUGGAAACCACCACACCCAUUUCCUACUUUACCAAGGAUUGCAGCUUCAAGGACCUACAUAUCAUAUGCAAAAGAUUUUAGUUGUUUGCACUUUUUUCUCAUUAUAGUUGUUGCACUGGUUGCCGUCACGUUACUAACAUGGGCCUCGUUCGAGAAAAAAGAUUUUCCUAGAAAUUGAGACCACUGGAUUGGACUAGUUGUGCAAGCAAUUUCAAACCACUUGCAAAAAUCUUUUGGAAGUUUGAGAAGGCUCUGCAUAUCUCUGGAAUUGCCAUAAGCCUCUGAAAUUGAUGUCUGAAAUGUGAUAUUUGCCUUGUGCACCAAAAAUUUUCUUUUCACGUCAUGCUUUGCUUCUUGCUGACUGAUCUAGGUGAAGGCUGUGGAGGCACCAGGGACCGAGACCAUAUUUAGUGAUUGCUUUUUCGGCCCACUGUUUCAAGCACAGCAUAUGAGAUUCCGACAACGACUGGCACCCGAGCUGGCAUUUGGACAGGAGAUGCCACUAUGAUUUUAAAGCUCCAACCAACCAAGCGGACCGGUGGCUGAGCUCCCUGGAUGUUGGCAUCAAUUGCUAUUGAAGGUGGCAUCAAUUAUCAUUCCCCUCCUUUGGUGGAUCCUACCUGCCACAUUACCAGGAACCAAAGUGCUACAUCAUGAAAGUGAUCGGCUCCCCUCAUCACUCAGGCUUGAUGCUUAUCCUCGUCAGGUCUCAGUUAUGUUGAAGCUUGGUACUUCGAGACCCAUGUGGUGACGGUCGAAGUAAAGAAGUCAUUCAUGGUUGUGUGUGUUCAUGUUUCAAGGGGACACCCUCGGUGGAAGUUUUUGGUAAGCAUGGUUUCUGUAGUAAGAGAUGUGAAAUGUCCAGCCACUGUCGGGAUUAAACCGCUUUGGAUCAAAUUGCACAUCUUGAACUUAUUGAGCAAGUGUUCUUCAAUUCCUUUACCUUAUGAUUGUUUAUUCUAGGGUGCCUCGAGUCAAAACCUUUGAUAUUAGAAUAUGUACAUUGACCCUCGCCAAA